AUGACAGUGUUUGGUUUGUUUUAUUUCCAAGACGGCUCCGUUAGAGCAGAUAAUACAUCCGUCAUACGUGAUGCAUACAGAAAUAAAAAAAUAACGGUUAACUGCAGGGAAGACCUCGAGUCGGAGCAGGGCUGGAUAGAGGUAAUUUGGCCUACACAACGGCGACAACAAGAGGCGAAGCCUAUUGCAGCCAAAUUGCUUUUCUUUGGAGACACGGUGAGGGAGAAAUUCCCCAACACCAUGGUUAGUGAGAUCCGGGCCCUGCUGCGGAGGAAAUGCAAUAAUGAGGGCUACACCAAGGUUGCUCCUCAGUAGCUUUAUUAUAUAUGUUAUAUAUGUCAGAUGUUUUAAAGUUAGGUGUUAUUGAAUGUAUGUUUGUAUUAAUAUUUAAAUUAAAGUUUUGGUUUGUACAAUUUAAGUGUUUUUUGUCAUGGAACAAAAUAGCACCCAUGGAGUGUACUAAAAUGGUACCAGAAAGAAGUGCAUGUGAAGUAUAAUAUGUAUUGUAAGUAUAUUUCUGUAGUAUUUAUAAAGUACUUAGUAGUAUAACAGUAUUGUACUUAAAAUACCCUUAAUAUACGCUUCCACUUUACAUUAUAGUAUAAUAACUAUACUUUAAGUACAUGCCUUUGAUGCUUAAAUUGUGACACAAAUUGACUAUAAAUACAUAAUAAAUGCAUUUUUAGUUACAUAAUUGCACACUUUAAAAGUACUAAAUAUAGUCAGAAAGUGUACUUGAAUUUAAUUAGAAAUAUGACAGAGGAAUGAUAAUAGUGUGUUAAAAAUACACUUCUAUUAUGUAGUAUAAGCAGUGAUAAAAUACACUCAAUAUACACUUCUGCUCCUCUUUAGAGUAUAAUAACAUUGUACUUAAAGUGCAUGCCUUUGAUGCUGCAAUUGUGAUAGAAAUGUACUAUAAAUACAUUUUAAUUAACAUAAUGGCAGACUUAAAAAGUACUAAAUAUAGUCAGAAAGUGUAUUUGAAUUUAAUUUGAAAUAUGACAGAAGUAUGAUAAUAGUGUGUUCAAAAUAUACUUAUAUACUACUAUCAAUUGAACCAUACUGCCUUUUUAAGUAUAUUUCAAACACACUGGUAAUAUAAUGCUAUUGUACUGCAAGAGUGUUUCAAAUGCUAGAAAUCAUACUUUUCACUAGUGUACUUCAGUACACUUAAAGGUUGUCAAAAGUUGUGCAAUUUUAGCAUACUAUUUACACUUGGAGUAUACUGGAGUAUAUCUAUAGUAGUACUUAAGGUAUACCUUAGUACACUUUGGUAUACUUGAAUGCGACGAAAUUAGUACAGAAUACAGUUACAUACUAAAAGUGGACUUAGUACAUCCUUUCAAAAGUGUCGUUGAAGUAUAAUAUUUUUUCACCUGGGCAGUGAUAUGCUCGUACUCCUCGUUGAACUCUGCCAGACUGCUCUUGAUGGACCAAAGGAGCCGGCGCUUGCCUUUGUAGGAGCCCUCACCCUGCCGGGAUUUAUAUAGCUCCCCCAAGUACCUGGAGAACAGCAUCAGAAAAAAACCAAGUGCAUUUAGUAUACCUACUGUACUUAAUAUUGUACAGUGGAGCAUUCACUUUGUCAGUAAAUCGUCCAAGCUGUACUGUAGUUUGUGAGGGCUAUGGUUCUGGUUCUCCUCUAGUGUGAGGGCUAAGGGUCUGGUUCUCCUCUAGUGUGAGGGCUAAGGGUCUGGUUCUCCUCUGGUGUGAGGGCUAAGGGUCUGGUUCUCCUCUGGUGUGAGGGCUAAGGGUCUGGUUCUCCUCUAGUGUGAGGGCUUAGGGUCUGGUUCUCCUCUAGUGUGAGGGCUAAGGGUCUGGAUCUCUACUGGACCUCAGCAGCUUCAGCUUGGUUCUUCUCCGGGGGCUCCAGAGGUCCUCCUGCCCCGUGAUGUCACUGCAGAAGCAGGGCAGGCUGUAGAGACACUGCAGGGACGCGUUCAGGAAGCAGCUGUUUCCAAUGUUGGGCAAGCUGAAGAAAACACAUACACAUCAUUAGUCAAUGUACCAGCCCGGAGUAUAUAGUCGUGAUGAUUAGGUUUUAAAGAAGAGACAACCAAUGUUUGGGAAAGUGUAAAUCUCUACAAAUAUAACCAGAACUCCUUAAACUAUGGACUAUAAGGGGGUGAAGGCAUCAGCGGCCCCAAACAGGCUGCUUGUAUUCAUGUUUAUUCUCUAAAGAACCAGCUCAAGAGAUGUCUUUCCUGUCUCUUACCCAAGGGCCUCCUGGUGUUGCUGGGUCUUGCUCCUACCAGAGGAGGCCCGCAGCCGGCUGACCUCGUCCCUCUGAGGCUGACUGCAACACACAGGGACGAGGGGAACAGAGAGGGAAACACAGCAAUGAGGAGGAUAGUCACGUCACGUAUAAGCAAAACGGACUCAUUCAUUCAUCGAUUUCUAUCUGAUGUCCAAUCCUGUGCUGAUGGAUCUCCCUGAUGCAAUCAGCAAAGGUUGGCUCCUGCUGUCAUACCACUGCAGAGAUGAGAAGCGACGAGGCCGGGAGAACUCUGAGGACCGACCACCACCACGGUUAAGACAAUAAUAGUUGAUCUGUGGGACAUGCUGUCUACUCAAUGGAGGACUGCUUCAAAGUACCUGUUGUCUGGGCAGGAGGCCCAGUGGGGUCCACCUCAUUGAGCUCACUCCCAGCUACUGCAGGUACCCUGAAACGCACACAUUCAUCAAGGUCAACUGAGGGUGGGGGCUGAUGUUUUAAGGACAAAUAAAAAGCAGGAAUGCAAAUUGAAAAGUUAGAAACAUGGAUGAGUCAUUUUUGGCAUAAUUUCACCGGCGGUGAACUUAAUGCUACUUGUUACCUACAUUUGAUUCCCCAGUACAUCCUCAUCAGGCAGGGUGGUGUCCUCUGAGGUCCCUUUGCUGCUCUGCUCACCGACAUCUGAUGACCGUCCUGGUGGGGAGGAGACAUCUCUGCUGCUGGGGGUGAUGACAUCUGGAAGGUCCAGGAUUCCUGUUGGAGAGAGAGAGGAGGGGGGGGAGGGAGAAAGAGACACAGUUAUUGGGGAGAUACCAGAGGACAGAAGAACAGGAACAGGGAACGGAACAGGGGAGGAUGGGGAC
ensembl:lncRNA